rnacentral:rRNA from 1 species
UACGUAGGGUGCGAGCGUUGUCCGGAAUUAUUGGGCGUAAAGAGCUUGUAGGCGGUUUGUCGCGUCUGCCGUGAAAUUUCGAGGCUCAACCUCGAACUUGCGGUGGGUACGGGCAGACUAGAGUGUGGUAGGGGAGACUGGAAUUCCUGGUGUAGCGGUGAAAUGCGCAGAUAUCAGGAGGAACACCGAUGGCGAAGGCAGCUCACAAAACCAUUAUUGACGCUGAGGCACGAAAGCGUGGGGAUCAAACAGG